rnacentral:rRNA from 1 species
CGCGGCCUAUCAGCUUGUUGGUGAGGUAACGGCUCACCAAGGCAUCGACGGGUAGCUGGUCUGAGAGGAUGAUCAGCCACACUGGGACUGAGACACGGCCCAGACUCCUACGGGAGGCAGCAGUAGGGAAUAUUGCACAAUGGGCGAAAGCCUGAUGCAGCAACGCCGCGUGCGGGAAGAAGGCCCUAGGGUUGUAAACCGCUUUCAGCAGGGAAGAAAAUGACGGUACCUGCAGAAGAAGGUGCGGCCAACUACGUGCCAGCAGCCGCGGUGACACGUAGGCACCAAGCGUUGUCCGGAUUUAUUGGGCGUAAAGAGCUCGUAGGCGGUUCAGUUAGUCGGGUGUGAAAACUCUGGGCUCAACCCAGAGACGCCACUCGAUACUGCUGUGACUAGAGUGCGGUAGGGGAGCGGGGAAUUCCUAGUGUAGCGGUGAAAUGCGCAGAUAUUAGGAGGAACACCAGUGGCGAAGGCGCCGCUCUGGGCCGUAACUGACGCUGAGGAGCGAAAGCGUGGGUAGCAAACAGGAUUAGAUACCCUGGUAGUCCACGCCGUAAACGUUGGGCACUAGGUGUGGGUCUCAACCAACGAGAUCCGCGCCGUCGCUAACGCAUUAAGUGCCCCGCCUGGGGAGUACGG